UACGUAGGCAGCAAGCGUUGUUCGGAAUUACUGGGCGUAAAGCGUGCGUAGACGGCUAUCUAAGUCGGGUGUGAAAGCCCCGGGCUCAACCUGGGAAUUGCAUUCGAGACUGAAUAGCUAGGGUACGGUAGAGGGAAGCGGAAUUUCCGGUGUAGCGGUGAAAUGCGUAGAUAUCGGAAGGAACAUCAGUGGCGAAAGCGGCUUCCUGGACCAGUACCGACGUUCAGGCACGAAAGCGUGGGGAGCAAACAGG
rnacentral:rRNA from 1 species